UUGGCCUACGGGGGGCAGCAGUGAGGAAUAUUGGUCAAUGGGCGGAAGCCUGAACCAGCCAAGUCGCGUGAGGGAAUAAGGCCCUACGGGUCGUAAACCUCUUUUGCCGGGGAGCAAGGGCGGGGACGUGUCCCGGCCCGGAGAGUACCCGGAGAAAAAGCAUCGGCUAACUCCGUGCCAGCAGCCGCGGUAAUACGGAGGAUGCGAGCGUUAUCCGGAUUUAUUGGGUUUAAAGGGUGCGUAGGCGGAUCGUUAAGUCAGUGGUCAAAUUGAGGGGCUCAACCCCUUCCCGCCAUUGAAACUGG
rnacentral:rRNA from 1 species